UACGAAGGAGGCUAGCGUUGCUCGGAAUCACUGGGCGUAAAGCGCACGAGGCGGAUUGUUAAGUCAGGGGUGAAAAUCCUGGAGCUCAACUCCAGAACUGCCUUUGAUACUGGCGAUCUUGAGUCCGGGAGAGGUGAGUGGAACUGCGAGUGUAGAGGUGAAAUUCGUAGAUAUUCGCAAGAACACCAGUGGCGAAGGCGGCUCACUGGCCCGGUACUGACGCUGAGGUGCGAAAGCGUGGGGAGCAAACAGG
rnacentral:rRNA from 1 species